rnacentral:ncRNA from 2 species
AACCGCCGUAUACCGAACGGUACGUACGGUGGUGUGAGAGGACGGGGGAGGUGACUCCCCCUCCUACUCGAU